UUAUGAGGAAGGAAAAGAAAUUAACUAAGAUUCCUUUAGUAGCGGCGAGCGAAACAGGAUAAGCCCAGCACUAAGCCCUCCGGUCGUUCUGGCUGGCAGGGGAUGCAGUGUAUGGAAUGUCUAUUAUCUUAUAUGACGGUAAUACGUUCAAGUCCAUCUUGAAUGGGGCCAUUUUACCCAUAGAGGGUGCCAGGCCCGUAGCAGCUAUUACCAGUAUAAGAAGAUAUUUCCAAAGAGUCGUGUUGCUUGAUAGUGCAGCACUAAGUUGGUGGUAAACUCCAUCUAAGGCUAAAUAUAACCACGAGACCGAUAGCGAACAAGUACCGUGAGGGAAAGUUGAAAAGCACUCUGAAUAGAGAGUUAAAUAGUACGUGAAACCGCUUAGGGGUUAAGCCUGAUGAACCUGAAUAUCCGAAUUGAGAAAUUCAAUACUGUUUUAGUUGCUUAUCUAACCAUAAGUAAUCGAUGGUAUGCACUUUUCUCAUAGUAGGACAUUGCGAUCCAUUAGUAGUCUCUUUGAGACGGUUUAUCAAACGGCCUGCGUAGUCAGUUUAGCCUAUCUGCAAUACUUGUUAUUGUAUGGUUAAUGCUAUUGCGGUGACCUGGUAAACAGCUGAUGGAGCUUAACAAUCAUGCCACCAUGCAAAUGUAUCACGGUGCGAUUAUAUUUAUAUUUUCGUAUGCAGUGAUCGCAUGUAUUUGAUUAGCAAUGCGAUAGAUUUGGGAUACCUUCAGGACCCGUCUUGAAACACGGACCAAGAAGUCUAACAUGUGUGUAAGUCAUUGGGUAUUUUGAUGAAACCUAAAGGCGAAAUUAAAAUAACUAUUAUGGGAUUACAAGCAAUCUACAAUGGUUGUUUCUCCAUCCCGGGGCGUUCUAUAUGAACAUGGUUCAAGCAAUUGGACCCUCUGUUCGAGAGCGUACCUUGAACAUACAUGCU
rnacentral:rRNA from 1 species